rnacentral:rRNA from 1 species
GUCCACGCCGUAAACGAUGGAUACUAGCUGUUCGGAGCAAUCUGAGUGGCUAAGCGAAAGUGAUAAGUAUCCCACCUGGGGAGUACGUUCGCAAGAAUGAAACUCAAAGGAAUUGACGGGGGCCCGCACAAGCGGUGGAGCAUGUGGUUUAAUUCGAUGAUACGCGAGGAACCUUACCAAGGCUUAAAUGUAGAUUGACAGGACUGGAAACAGUUUUUUCUUCGGACAAUUUACAAGGUGCUGCAUGGUU